CUACGUGCCAGCAGCCGCGGUAAUACGUAGGUCCCGAGCGUUGUCCGGAUUUAUUGGGCGUAAAGCGAGCGCAGGCGGUUAGAUAAGUCUGAAGUUAAAGGCUGUGGCUUAACCAUAGUACGCUUUGGAAACUGUUUAACUUGAGUGCAAGAGGGGAGAGUGGAAUUCCAUGUGUAGCGGUGAAAUGCGUAGAUAUAUGGAGGAACACCGGUGGCGAAAGCGGCUCUCUGGCUUGUAACUGACGCUGAGGCUCGAAAGCGUGGGGAGCAAACAGGAUUAGAUACCCUGGUAGUCCACGCCGUAAACGAUGAGUGCUAGGUGUUAGACCCUUUCCGGGGUUUAGUGCCGUAGCUAACGCAUUAAGCACUCCGCCUGGGGAGUACGACCGC
rnacentral:rRNA from 1 species